UACGGAGGGUGCGAGCGUUAAUCGGAAUUACUGGGCGUAAAGCGCAUGCAGGUGGCUCGCUAAGUCAGAUGUGAAAGCCCAAGGCUUAACCUUGGAAUAGCAUUUGAAACUGGCAAGCUAGAGUACUGUAGAGGGGAGUAGAAUUUCAGGUGUAGCGGUGAAAUGCGUAGAGAUCUGAAGGAAUACCAGUGGCGAAGGCGGCUCCCUGGACAGAUACUGACACUCAGAUGCGAAAGCGUGGGGAGCAAACAGG
rnacentral:rRNA from 1 species